AUCUCUGAACAUGGUUUGGAAUUGGAAAGAGAAGUGUAAUGAUCUUGUGGGUUUCUGUAGGUACCAAACCAAAAGAGGCCAGCCAGAGCAUCUCCAAAAGGAAAUAGACAGACUGAGCUCUGAAUUGCAGGCUGAAAAGGAGCUCCAUAUGAGGGAGAUGCAGCUCUUGAAGGAGAAACUCUGCAAAUCAGAGCUGUUGGUGCAACAACUGUACAAAGAGAUCGCAAGGCUGGAGAAGUCACAGCCUGGGAGACCCGCCCAAGGCCUCCGAGAGCCACAGGAAACAGAGGCCAGUGUGAAGCGGGGUGAUAAACCAGAAACGGAGAGUUUCGAGCUUUGGUCAGAGAGAGGAAACAACAAUGUAGUGGCAGAGCCUAGUAACAUGACACUGCGGAGGAUCCCCAAGCAC
rnacentral:lncRNA from 1 species